rnacentral:rRNA from 1 species
UACUUGGGGCAAGGGCAUAUGUCUUAUAUGUUUUUUGAUCCUUUGUGGAAAAAGGUUUAAGUUACCUCGGGGAUAACUAGGUAAGAGACGAGGAGAGAUCAUAUCGGUUCGUCUGUUUGCCAUCUCGAUGUUGGCUUGGGGUUAGCGUGGGGAUGUAGAGGUUCCUAUGUAAGGUCUGUUCGACCGCAAAUCCC